rnacentral:SRP_RNA from 1 species
GCCGGGUGUGGUGGUGCACGCCUGUAGUCCCAGCUACUCAGGAGGCUGAGGCAGGAGGAUUACUUGAAACCAGGAGUUCGAGGCUGCAGUGAGCCGUGAUUGUGCCACUGCAUUCCAGCCUGGGCAACAGAGUGAGACAUUGUCUUUA